CUGAGCAGGCUUGUAUAUAGAAUCUCUUUUCUCAGAACAGGUAAAGAACAAACAGUAGCUGUGCAAACUUCUCCACAUCACUCAGCCCAUGUGCCUUAGCCCUGACCUGGAGGAACUGUCCCUAAAAAUGAAAGAAUAGCUCAUUCUCCAUGCUCAUUCAAUCUGUGGCCUCU
ensembl:misc_RNA